rnacentral:lncRNA from 1 species
CUUCAUGAAAUUUAUUACUAAUAUAGAUAGACAGAUAGAUAGAUAAUCUUUUAAUUAUUCUCAUGUCUUUUUCAGAAAUCCCCUGGCAAUUUUUCCAUUAGCACCUUUAGGAUAAAAUCCACCAGGCACAUGUUCAUCCCCAGAGCUGUACACAAUCCUCAGAAUCUCAGCAGGUGUUCUUUUGUAUGAAAGUGAAUCGAAAUCAGCUGAUAACACGUUACUUAUAGUCCGAUUUUCUGCUCCGAGUUGUGGUGGAACGAAUAGGCCUUCAUCUUUGAUCCCACAUUUUCCUAAUUUAUUCCUUAGUGUUGAUAUACGAGAAGUGAAUUCAGCCACUGUGUAUUUGUAAGGGGAAACUAAUCGUGUUGCUCUUUCAUAGAGGUACAUCCUGAUAACUGCGUCUUGUCCUGAUUCAACACCCAAUAAUCCUGCCAAAAGCUACAAAAGGAAAUAUAUAUAUUGUAAGGAUGAAAAAAAUAUUAAUUUUGGUUUUCUAAGUUGGGUUUGACAAAAAUAUAAGCUACUCACUUAGCAAUUCAUUUGAUUUAUGGAGUACAUGAUAAUGACAACUUUGAAGAAAGGUGAAAAUUAAUAGAAGUAAGAAAAUAUUCUUGUCAUACUUUGGAAAAGGGAAAAGAACUAAUUUAUUAAUGACUAGCCCGUUAAACCUAUUUUAUUAUUAUUAUUAUUAUUGUUCGAAUCAUUUCCCUUGGGUUGUGAAAUAUGUUAUCUUGCUCAUGAAUCUAUUGUUCUAGCUCUAAUUAGGUAAUUUUCGAAUCAUUUCCCUUGGGUUGUAGUUUUUGUUGAUGCUAUUUUACUAUUACUACUUUCCUUCCUCGCAUAUAUGAAAUCAUGCCAAAUAAUCUGAAAAUGGAAUUUUUUUUUGAAUUUUUAACUCCACUUGACCCAUGGACAAACCUUCUACGUUAAAGAUUAAAAAUUGAUAAACUUGAAGUAUUAUUUUUAGGAAAAACGAGAUCAAGAGUUCAAGAUCACGAGGGUGUACGGAGGAUUAAUU